rnacentral:rRNA from 1 species
CUGCUCAGUAACACAUGAUCAACUUACCCUAUAGAGAAAAAUAACCUCGGGAUACUGAGGAUAAUAUUUCAUAGUUGAAUAGGCUUGGAAAAGUUUUUCAAUAAAAGGGAUAAAAAAAAUGGUUUUUAUCUGCUAUAGGAUAGGAUCGUGGACGAUUAUGGUUGUUGGUGAGGUAACGGCUCACCAAGCCGAUAAUCGAUAGGGGCCGUGAGAGCGGGAGCCCCGAGAUGGGUACUGAGACAACGACCCAGGCCUUACGAGGCGCAGCAGGCGCGGAACCUCCGCAAUACACGAAAGUGUGACGGGGUUACCCAAAGUGUUCAAUUCUGAACUGUGGUAGGUGAGUAAUGUUCCCUACUAGAAAGGAGAGGGCAAGGCUGGUGCCAGCCGCCGCGGUAAAACCAGCUCUUCAAGUGGUCGGGAUAAUUAUUGGGCUUAAAGUGUCCGUAGCCGGUUUAGUAAGUUCCUGGUAAAAUCGGGUAGCUUAACUAUCUGCAUGCUAGGAAUACUGCUAUACUAGAGGGCGGGAGAGGUCUGAGGUACUACAGGGGUAGGGGUGAAAUCUUAUAAUCCUUGUAGGACCACCAGUGGCGAAGGCGUCAGACUGGAACGCGCCUGACGGUGAGGGACGAAAGCCAGGGGAGCGAACCGGAUUAGAUACCCGGGUAGUCCUGGCCGUAAACGAUGCAUACUAGGUGAUGGUACGGCCAUGAGCCGUAUCAGUGCCGUAGGGAAACCGUUAAGUGUGCCGCCUGGGAAGUACGGUCGCAAGGCUAAAACUUAAAGGAAUUGGUGGGGGAGCACCACAAGGGGUGAAGCCUGCGGUUC